AGAGUUUGAUCCUGGCUCAGGACGAACGCUGGCGGCGUGCCUAACACAUGCAAGUCGAGCGAAGAACUCUAGAUGAUAUUUUCGGAUGGAAUCUAGAGUUAUCUUAGCGGCGAACGGGUGAGUAACGCGUGAGAAACCUGCCUUUUACAAUGGGAUAGCCUCUGGAAACGGGGAUUAAUACCAUAUGACAUUAUUUUUUCGCAUGAAGAAAUAAUUAAAGUGUAAAGCGGUAAAAGAUGGUCUCGCGUCCUAUUAGUUAGUUGGUGAGGUAACGGCUCACCAAGACUCCGAUAGGUAGCCGGCCUGAGAGGGCGAACGGCCACACUGGAACUGAGACACGGUCCAGACUCCUACGGGAGGCAGCAGUGGGGAAUAUUGCACAAUGGAGGAAACUCUGAUGCAGCGACGCCGCGUGAGUGAAGAAGGUCUUCGGAUCGUAAAACUCUGUCCUUGGUGAAGAUAAUGACGGUAGCCAAGGAGGAAGCCCCGGCUAACUACGUGCCAGCAGCCGCGGUAAUACGUAGGGGGCGAGCGUUGUCCGGAUUUACUGGGCGUAAAGGGUGAGUAGGCGGUUAUAUAUGUCAGGUGUAAAAGGCUAUGGCUUAACCAUGGUUAGCACUUGAAACUGUACAACUUGAGUGCAGGAGAGGUAAGUGGAAUUCCUAGUGUAGCGGUGAAAUGCGUAGAUAUUAGGAGGAACACCAGUGGCGAAGGCGACUUACUGGACUGUAACUGACGCUGAGUCACGAAAGCGUGGGUAGCAAACAGGAUUAGAUACCCUGGUAGUCCACGCUGUAAACGAUGAGUGCUAGGUGUUGGCCAGCGAGGGUCAGUCCCGCAUUUAACACAUUAAGCACUCCCGCCUGGGGGAGUACGUACGCAAGUAUGAAACUCAAAGGAAAUUGACGGGGACCCGCACAAGCAGCGGAGCAUGUGGUUUAAUUCGAAGCAACGCGAAGAACCUUACCAAGGCUUGACAUCCCCUUGUCCAGUGCAGAGAUGUACUCUCUCCUUCGGGAGCAAGGGUGACAGGUGGUGCAUGGUUGUCGUCAGCUCGUGUCGUGAGAUGUUGGGUUAAGUCCCGCAACGAGCGCAACCCUUAUCCUUAGUUGCCAUCAAGUUAAGUUGGGCACUCUAAGGAGACUGCCGGUGAUAAACCGGAGGAAGGUGGGGAUGACGUCAAAUCAUCAUGCCCCUUAUGUCUUGGGCUACACACGUGCUACAAUGGUCGGUACAACGGGGAGCGAAGGAGCGAUCUGGAGCAAAUCCCAAUAAACCGAUCCCAGUUCGGAUUGUAGGCUGCAACUCGCCUACAUGAAGUCGGAGUUGCUAGUAAUCGCGAAUCAGAACGUCGCGGUGAAUGCGUUCCCGGGUCUUGUACACACCGCCCGUCA
rnacentral:rRNA from 1 species